rnacentral:misc_RNA from 1 species
GAUGAAGAACGUAGCGAAAUGCGAUAAGUAAUGCGAAUUGCAGAAUUCAGUGAGUCAUCGAAUCUUUGAACGCAUAUUGCGCCCUUUGGUAUUCCAAAGGGCAUGCCUGUUCGAGCGUCAUUUGUACCCUCAAGCUUUGCUUGGUGUUGGGCGUCUUGUCUCCAGUCCGCUGGAGACUCGCCUUAAAGUCAUUGGCAGCCGGCCUACUGGUUUCGGAGCGCAGCACAAGUCGCACUCUUUUCCAGCAAGGUCAGCGUCCAACAAGCCUUUUUUCAACUUUUGACCUCGGAUCAGGUAGGGAUACCCGCUGAACUUAAGCAUAUCAAUAAGCGGAGGA